CUAGAAAUUUCUGUUGACCUGAACAGACAUACAAGGGAAUGAUGAAAAGUACCUACCUCGCCAUUAUUUUUCUUCUGUGUUUUCUUCUUUGGAAGAGGUGAAGACCUGGGAAGAGAUACAUGAGGCAGAAUUGAAGGCACUCGACUUGCUUCUUCUCAUUUUCCCUGAAGGCUAGAAUCCUACUAUGAAUGUCAUAAAGAUCAGUCAGGAGACUUUUGGAAUAUGAUGGAAGGUACAUGUCUCUCAUCCUUCCUGCUCUCCUCUUCCCUUUGGAGGGUGGAGAUCAGGUAGGAGAUAGGUAAACUAUAAUACAAACCAACUACCUCUCCUUGAGGAACCAGAUCUUGAAGACUUGGCAGGAGAUUCAUGAAGAAGAGCAUGUGAAGUGCAGAACAUGAUGGAAUUCAUACACCAUUCUCUUCUCAGUCCCCUUGGAACUGUGAGACCUAGCAGGAGACCAGGUAGGUAUCUUGAAUUGAACAGUCCCAUGUUACGAGGGAAUGAGGAGGAAACCCGAUCACGUCUGCAUUUCUCUUACCUUGCCAUCCAUACAGAAUUUAGGGUGGAGGGAGGAUCCAGAUGAAUCCCAAUGCAAGACAACUGACUCUCUUUAUCCCUCUUUUCCUCAAGAUCAGAGUACUUGCAGGAGACUAGAGUCUGGAGUCCUGGUAAGAUUUUCCUAAAGAUGAUGCUGGAAAGAACACUUAAGUGAGUGCAGACUCCCUUUUCGUCUCUUUUUACUUCCAUUAUAACCUGGAGAUCUAGCAGGAGAAAAGGGAGUGAAGAUCUCGGAAGAGACAGAAAUAGCAGAAUUGAAGUUACCGGGCUGGCUUCUUACCUCUUUUACUGGAACCUAGCGUUCCGGGAAGAGGUUAAUGAAGGUGACUCAUGGAAUUCAGAGAAGAGACCCAUGGAAUAUUAUGGAAGCUAUCGGCCUCACCUCUUUCCGUCUCUCCUCUUCCCUUUGGAGGUUGGGGAUCAGGUUGGAGCCAGGCAAAGGACAGGAGAAAAUAGCCACUUCUCAUUGUGGAAUAUGAGGCUGGAGACUUGGCAGGACAUUCAUGGAGAUGAGGAUUUGAAGCACCAGACUUGAUAGAAGGCACUCACCUCUUCUACUCUACCUUCCUUUGCAACAUGGACUCCUCCCUGGAGACCAAAUAGGAAACCUUUUUUAACAGACUGUAGACACAAAAGAAUCAGUAUACAGGCUCACCUAUCCAUCCUCUUUGUUCCCAAGCACAAUGUGAAGAUCAGUGAAAAAAUCAAUGGGGCACAGUGGACGGUACCACAUGGUCUUCUACCCACUUUUCCUAGAGAAUGAAGUCCAAGCAGGAGUUUCAUGAUGAUCAGGCAGGAGACUGAUGACAAUCAAAAAAGAGUUCUCUCCUCCUCUUGUUAACAGGCUGUAUAACAGAAGCAAAGCAUAAGAGAAAGCAAUUUCUUCUGGGAGAGCCUUGGCAGGAAGUUCAUUGAGAUGCCAAUGCAGAAGCAAAGGGAAUGAAGAUACCUGCCUCACCUCUUUGCUUCUCAGCUCUUCCCUUUGGAGGUUGGGGAUCAGAAAAGAGCCAGGCAAAGCACAAGAGAAAACAAUCACAUCUCUUUCAUAGUUGGCU
ensembl:lncRNA